CCUACGGGAUGCUGCAGUAGGGAAUAUUGCUCAAUGGGGGAAACCCUGAAGCAGCAACGCCGCGUGGAGGAUGAAGGUUUUCGGAUUGUAAACUCCUGUUGUUAGAGAAGAUAAUGACGGUAUCUAACUAAUCACCACCGGCUAACACCGUGCCAGCAGCCGCGGUCAUACGGCGGGUGCAAGCGUUACUCGGAAUCACUGGGCGUAAAGAGCGCGGAGGCGGGUUUGCAAGUCAGAUGUGAAAUCCUAUGGCUUAACCAUAGAACUGCAUUUGAAACUGUUAUACUAGAGUAUGGGAGAGGUAGGUGGAAUUCUUGGUGUAGGGGUAAAAUCCGUAGAGAUCAAGAGGAAUACUCAUUGCGAAGGCGACCUGCUAGACCAUAACUGACGCUGAUGCGCGAAAGCGUGGGGAGCAAACAGGAUUAGAUACCCCUGUAGUC
rnacentral:rRNA from 1 species